rnacentral:rRNA from 1 species
UUCCAACACCAUACCACCCUGCGUACACUGAUCUCGUCUGAUCUUGGAAGUUAAACAGGGUCAGGCCUGAUUAGUACUUGGAUGGGAGACCAAUGCUGUCACCAGUGUUAAC